CGCGGUAUUUUGACCGUGCGAAGGUAGCAUAAUCAUUAGUCUUUUAAUUGGAGGCUUGGAUGAAGGGUUGGACGAGAAAUCAGCUGUCUUUGUUGGGGGAGUGGAAUUUAACUUUUAAGUGAGAGGGCUUAAAUGAGCUAAAGGGACGAUAAGACCCUAUAAAGUUUGACACUAACUCCAAUAGAAGAGGCUAAGUGAGUUAACAAAAAGUUAAUUAGUGGGAAGGUGUUUUGUUGGGGCGACAAAGAUAUAAGAAAUUUAACUGUCUUUAGGUUAAGCCAGAGAUAUUUGUAGAAUGGGAUCCUUGUUAAAGGUGCUAGAAUAAAUUACUUUAGGGAUAACAGCGUGAUUUUCUUUGAGAGUUCCUAUCGACGAGAGAGUUUGCGACCUCGAUGUUGAAUUAAAGAGUCUUUACGGCGUAGCGGCUGUGGAAGAGGGUCUGUUCGA
rnacentral:rRNA from 1 species